rnacentral:rRNA from 1 species
CAGCCGCCGCGGGAAUACGAAGGGGGCUAGCGUUGCUCGGAAUUACUGGGCGUAAAGGGAGCGUAGGCGGAUCGUUUAGUCAGGGGUGAAAUCCCGGGGCUCAAUCUCGGAACUGCCCUUGAUACUGGCGAUCUUGAGUAUGGGAGAGGUGUGUGGAACUCCGAGUGUAGAGGUGAAAUUCGUAGAUAUUCGGAAGAACACCAGUGGCGAAGGCGACACACUGGCCCAUUACUGACGCUGAGGCUCGAAAGCGUGGGGAGCAAACAGGAUUAGAUACCCCUGUAGUCCCUGUCUCUUAUAC